rnacentral:rRNA from 1 species
GACGUAGGGCGCGAGCGUUGUCCGGAUUUAUUGGGCGUAAAGAGCUCGUAGGCGGCUUGUCGCGUCGUCCGUGAAAACCCGCAGCUCAACUGUGGGCUUGCGGUCGAUACGGGCAGGCUAGAGUUCGGUAGGGGAGACUGGAAUUCCUGGUGUAGCGGUGAAAUGCGCAGAUAUCAGGAGGAACACCGGUGGCGAAGGCGGGUCUCUGGGCCGAUACUGACGCUGAGGAGCGAAAGCGUGGGGAGCGAACAGG